rnacentral:rRNA from 1 species
UCUCAAAGUGGCGGCAUGCUUAACAUGCAGUCGAACGGUAGAGCAGCAAUGCUUGAGAGUGGCGAACGGGUGAGUAAUAUAUCGGAACGUGCCCAGUCGUGGGGGAUAACGUAGAGAAAUUUACGCUAAUACCGCAUACGAUCUAAGGAUGAAAGCGGGGGAUUCGCAAGAACCUCGCGCGAUUGGAGCGGCUGAUAUCAGAUUAGGUUGUUGGUGAGGUAAAAGCUCACCAAGCCGACGAUCUGUAGCUGGUUUGAGAGAACGACCAGCCACACUGGGACUGAGACACGGCCCAGACUCCUACGGGAGGCAGCAGUGGGGAAUUUUGGACAAUGGGCGAAAGCCUGAUCCAGCAAUGCCGCGUGUGGGAAGAAGGCCUUCGGGUUGUAAACCACUUUUGUACGGAACGAAACGGUCUGCUUUAAUACAGUGGGCUAAUGACGGUACCGUAAGAAUAAGCACCGGCUAACUACGUGCCAGCAGCCGCGGUAAUACGUAGGGUGCGAGCGUUAAUCGGAAUUACUGGGCGUAAAGCGUGCGCAGGCGGUUAUAUAAGACAGUUGUGAAAUCCCCGGGCUCAACCUGGGAAUUGCAUCUGUGACUGUAUAGCUAGAGUACGGUAGAGGGGGAUGGAAUUCCGCGUGUAGCAGUGAAAUGCGUAGAUAUGCGGAGGAACACCGAUGGCGAAGGCAAUCCCCUGGACCUGUACUGACGCUCAUGCACGAAAGCGUGGGGGAGCAAACAGGAUUAGAUACCCUGGUAGUCCACGCCCUAAACGAUGUCAACUGGUUGUUGGGUGCAUUAGUACUCAGUAACGAAUCUCACGCGUGAAGUUGACCGCCUGGGAGUACGGCCGCAAGGUUGAAACUCAGAGGAAUUGACGGGGACCCGCACAAGCGUGGAUGAUGGUGGUUUAUUUCGAUGCACGCGAAAAACAUUACCUACCUUUGACAUGUAUGGAAUUCGCCAGAGAUGGAUAGUGCUCGAAAGAGUACCAUAACACACGUGCUGCAUCGACUGUCGUCAGCUCGAGUCGUGAGAUGCUGGUUAAGUCCAUAACGAUCGCAACCCUGGUCUCUACUUGCUACAUUUAGGUGAUCACUCUAUGACACUGCUCGUGACUAACCGAAGCACGCUCGCGAUGACGUCAAGUGCUCAGGGUCCGUACAGGUAUGGGCUACGCGCGUUCGUACAAUCGAAUGACAAAAGACCGCUAGUCGAGCGUGGUGUACUAUCCCUCACAAUCAUCCGAUCCCACCUCGCAUCUCUGCGAUGAAGCCGCGAAUCGCCGCUCAUACU